GGGUUGUGAGGUUAAGCGACUAAGCGUACACGGUGGAUGCCCUGGCAGUCAGAGGCGAUGAAGGACGUGCUAAUCUGCGAUAAGCGUCGGUAAGGUGAUAUGAACCGUUAUAACCGGCGAUUUCCGAAUGGGGAAACCCAGUGUGUUUCGACACACUAUCAUUAACUGAAUCCAUAGGUUAAUGAGGCGAACCGGGGGAACUGAAACAUCUAAGUACCCCGAGGAAAAGAAAUCAACCGAGAUUCCCCCAGUAGCGGCGAGCGAACGGGGAGCAGCCCAGAGCCUGAAUCAGUGUGUGUGUUAGUGGAAGCGUCUGGAAAGGCGCGCGAUACAGGGUGACAGCCCCGUACACAAAAAUGCACAUGCUGUGAGCUCGAUGAGUAGGGCGGGACACGUGGUAUCCUGUCUGAAUAUGGGGGGACCAUCCUCCAAGGCUAAAUACUCCUGACUGACCGAUAGUGAACCAGUACCGUGAGGGAAAGGCGAAAAGAACCCCGGCGAGGGGAGUGAAAAAGAACCUGAAACCGUGUACGUACAAGCAGUGGGAGCCUCUUUAUGGGGUGACUGCGUACCUUUUGUAUAAUGGGUCAGCGACUUAUAUUCUGUAGCAAGGUUAACCGAAUAGGGGAGCCGAAGGGAAACCGAGUCUUAACUGGGCGUUAAGUUGCAGGGUAUAGACCCGAAACCCGGUGAUCUAGCCAUGGGCAGGUUGAAGGUUGGGUAACACUAACUGGAGGACCGAACCGACUAAUGUUGAAAAAUUAGCGGAUGACUUGUGGCUGGGGGUGAAAGGCCAAUCAAACCGGGAGAUAGCUGGUUCUCCCCGAAAGCUAUUUAGGUAGCGCCUCGUGAAUUCAUCUCCGGGGGUAGAGCACUGUUUCGGCAAGGGGGUCAUCCCGACUUACCAACCCGAUGCAAACUGCGAAUACCGGAGAAUGUUAUCACGGGAGACACACGGCGGGUGCUAACGUCCGUCGUGAAGAGGGAAACAACCCAGACCGCCAGCUAAGGUCCCAAAGUCAUGGUUAAGUGGGAAACGAUGUGGGAAGGCCCAGACAGCCAGGAUGUUGGCUUAGAAGCAGCCAUCAUUUAAAGAAAGCGUAAUAGCUCACUGGUCGAGUCGGCCUGCGCGGAAGAUGUAACGGGGCUAAACCAUGCACCGAAGCUGCGGCAGCGACGCUUAUGCGUUGUUGGGUAGGGGAGCGUUCUGUAAGCCUGUGAAGGUGUGCUGUGAGGCAUGCUGGAGGUAUCAGAAGUGCGAAUGCUGACAUAAGUAACGAUAAAGCGGGUGAAAAGCCCGCUCGCCGGAAGACCAAGGGUUCCUGUCCAACGUUAAUCGGGGCAGGGUGAGUCGACCCCUAAGGCGAGGCCGAAAGGCGUAGUCGAUGGGAAACAGGUUAAUAUUCCUGUACUUGGUGUUACUGCGAAGGGGGGACGGAGAAGGCUAUGUUGGCCGGGCGACGGUUGUCCCGGUU
rnacentral:rRNA from 1 species